GCGUUGGUAGUGCAACGCUUAGCAUAAGCUCCAGGAAAGAGGAGAUCCGGGUUCGAAUCCCGGUUGACGCA